UACGUAGGGUGCGAGCGUUGUCCGGAAUUAUUGGGCGUAAAGGGCUCGUAGGCGGUUUGUCGCGUCGGGAGUGAAAACACCGGGCUUAACUCGGUGCUGGCUUUCGAUACGGGCAGACUAGAGGUAUUCAGGGGAGAACGGAAUUCCUGGUGUAGCGGUGAAAUGCGCAGAUAUCAGGAGGAACACCGGUGGCGAAGGCGGGUCUCUGGACAGUUCCUGACGCUGAGGCACGAAGGUCAGGGGAGCAAACGGG
rnacentral:rRNA from 1 species